AAAUAAGGUGAAUAUAAAGUUGAAAAUAUGUACAUACAUACAAAGAAAUAAAGUAUCAAACGAAAUUAAAGUGAAGCAUUUGUCGAAAAAAGGCGGCGAUGCAGAAGUAAAAGAAUAAGCAAAGGCAGUAUAAUCGAAGUAAAGUGAAAGAAAGUAACUCGGAGACUAGUGUUUGGGUGGCAAACGUGGAAAAAAACAACAACAACAAUAGCAAAGCAGAAGCAGAAAAUGCAAGUGUGGCGAAGUGGAAAUGUAGGUACAUACAUGCAUACAUACAUAUGUACAUAUGUAGCUGGCAUUUAUUUGUAUGAUGAGCAACAGCGUUGAUGCGCUCUGGAAUUGUUACAAAUUAAUUUAAAUGGAGUAGAGGUAGUCGAUAAAUGUAGUGAAAACAAAACGCGUAGAAAAUUGCUUGCAAUGCAAUAAAAUACAAAAGUGUGCGAAGAAAAUACAUUUGAAACAGUGAAAUGGAUUUAGUGUGAAUGGAACGAAGAAAAUUAAUAAGACCGAAGUGAAAAAAGUGAAAUUGUAAAACAAAAAAAAAUAAUAAUAAUAAUACGUAAUUGUUUAAUUGAAAUUAAUUGAUACGCGAAUUGAAAACUAUUAGUGCAACAGCCAUUAUAAACGAGUUAGUUGAAUAUUCAAAUCGAAAAGCAAUUCUCAACGCUUUUAGUGAAUUAUAUUAAAUGCAAAAGUAUUCCAUGAUUCGCUUAAACCUGAAAAAAAUUCAAUGCAACUCAAAAAAAAA